rnacentral:rRNA from 1 species
GGUAGUGUAGUUAAUAGCUGCAUUAUUUGACGUUAGCGACAGAAGAAGCACCGGCUAACUCCGUGCCAGCAGCCGCGGUAAUACGGAGGGUGCGAGCGUUAAUCGGAAUUACUGGGCGUAAAGCGCAUGCAGGUGGUUUGUUAAGUCAGAUGUGAAAGACCCGGGGCGUCAACCUCGGAAUAGCAUUUGAAACUAGGCAGACUAGAGUACUGUAGAGGGGGGUAGGAAUUUCAGGUGUAGCGGUGAAAUGCGUAGAGAUCUGAAGGAAUACCGGUGGCGAAGGCGGCCCCCUCGGACAGAUACUGACACUCAGAUGCGAAAGCGUGGGGAGCAAACAGGAUUAGAUACCCUGGUAG